rnacentral:rRNA from 1 species
AGGGUUCGAUUCUGGCUCAGGACGAACGCUGGCGGUGCGCCUUAUGCAUGCAAGUUGAGCGAAGCUUUUUGGUAGUUUACUACUAGAAAUGACUGAGCGGCGAACGGGUGAGUAACGCGUGAGCAAUCUACCUUAGUUACUGGGAUAGCCCGAGGAAACUCGGAUUAAUACCGGAUAUUCUUAUUUUUUCACAUGAAGUUUUAAGGAAAGGUCAGCCGAACUAAGAUGAGCUCGCGUUCUAUCAGCUAGUUGGUGGGGUAAAAGCCUACCAAGGCUACGACGGAUAGCUGGUCUGAGAGGACGAUCAGCCACACUGGGACUGAGACACGGCCCAGACUCCUACGGGAGGCUGCAGCAGGGAAUAUUGUGCAAUGAGCGAAAGCUUGACACAGCGACACCGCGUGUGGGAUGACGGUUCUAGGAUUGUAAACCACUUUCAGGAGGGAAGAAAAUGACGGUACCUCCACAAGAAGACCCGGCCAACUAUGUGCCAGCAGCCGCGGUAAUAC